rnacentral:lncRNA from 1 species
CCCCACCAUCAAAUUCACCAGUUUUCUUUAAUCAAGUAAAAACAAGUUUUUUCUUCAAGAAAAGUAAAAACAAGUUUUACAAUUGUUCAAUCAUGGUUCGGUACAUAGCAGCACCAUUGCCUUUUCAAAUUGAUUGUUUUCAAAUUUGUUUUUAGCUGGCUAGAUCACAACAAUUUGAAUGUAGUAGAUCUUUAAGAUCCAAUGACUUUCAUUUGACAAAAAAACAAAAAAUCAAAUGGUUAAAAUUAGAAAAAUUAUUAUAGUUUAUGGUAGACUACUUAAAAU